rnacentral:rRNA from 1 species
GAUGAACGCUAGCGGGAGGCCUAACACAUGCAAGCCGAGCGGUAUUGUUUCUUCGGAAAUGAGAGAGCGGCGUACGGGUGCGUAACACGUGUGCAACCUGCCUUUAUCUGGGGGAUAGCCUUUCGAAAGGAAGAUUAAUACUCCAUAAUACAUUGAACGGCAUCGUUUAAUAUUUAAAGCUCCGGCGGAUAGAGAUGGGCACGCGCAAGAUUAGCUAGUUGGUGAGGUAACGGCUCACCAAGGCGAUGAUCUUUAGGGGGCCUGAGAGGGUGAGCCCCCACACUGGUACUGAGACACGGACCAGACUCCCACGGGAUGCAGCAGUGAGGAAUAUUGGUCAAUGGGUGCAAGCCUGAACCAGCCAUCCCGCGUGAAGGACGACUGCCCUAUGGGUUGUAAACUUCUUUUGUAUAGGGAUAAACCUACCCUCGUGAGGGUAGCUGAAGGUACUAUACGAAUAAGCACCGGCUAACUCCGUGCCAGCCGCCGCCGUAA